rnacentral:rRNA from 1 species
AAAUUUUGUGUUUAUAAGUUUUAGUAUUGCAUACUAUUUAAAAAAAAUUUUAUUAAUAAUAAAAAAUAGAAUUAAAAGGUAGAAAAUUUUAUUAUUUUUAUUGUUUCAUAAUAAAAAUUAUAAAUUUUAGGGUUGAAAAGUCGACUUUUAGGAUAUCUGCGUUUAUAGUUAAUAUUAGAAAUUUAUGUGUUUAGAUUUGUGGGUUUUUAUAAAAAGUAUAAGUUGAAGUAUUUUUAAGAUUAAGUUUUAUAACUGUUUAUGCGUUAAAUAAUUUAUGUUUAUAAAAAUGGUGUUUUAUUAAAUUGAUAAUAAAUAUAUAAUUUUAAAAUAAGUAAUUAAAUAAAGUUAAUUUUUAAUUAAUAAUAUAAUAAAAUAACUAAAUAAUUAAUCAAAUGUUUAUUAAAGACUUAGACUUUUUAAUAAAGUUUGCUUCUGCCCAAUGAAAAAUUUAAAUGGCAGUCUUAGCGUGAGGACAUUAAGGUAGCAAAAUAAUUUGUGCUUUUAUUGAGUUCCAGUAUGAAUGAAGUUAUUGGUUAGUUAUCUUUUUAUUUUAUUUAUGAAUUUUUAAUUAAUAUAAAGAAAUGUUAAUGUAACAAUACAAAGAUAAGUCUUCGGAAAUUCUUUUUAACAUUAAUUAAAUAAAAUAAUAAUUAAUGUUAAAAUUUUCUAGGGCAGAAUUUUAUAUAAUUAAUAAAUCUAUUAUUAAUUUUAAGAAUUACUCCGGAGUUAACAGAAAAUCAUAUCUAAUCUAGUACUUAUAGUAAGAUAAGUUUUACAUCGAUGUUGUAUUUAAGUUUUUUAAAAAAGGAGAAAAUUUAAGUUUUAAGACUGUUCUUCUUUUAAUUAAUUUAACGUGAUAUUAGUUUAAUUCAUUGUGAGAUAGAAUUGUUUAUCUUGAUUGUUAUUGGUUUGAAGUUUUAAUAGUACGAAAGGAAAAUUAAAAAAAGUUAUAAACUUUUUAAGGGAAUUAAAUUC